rnacentral:lncRNA from 1 species
AAUGACGGGUUUACCUAGAAUUAACCGGGUUAACUAAUUAAACCAAGUUAACCCGUCAAGCCCAAGAUACGUGUCAUAAAAGUAUGGAAAUCUGAUAAUUAAAUAGAAAGAAAAUUAACUUUAACAAACUAAACUAAAUGAAAAAAAUAACACGUCAAAUCAGGUUAACCCAUCAAACAUUAACAAACUAAAUUAAAUAAAAA